GACGAACGCUGGCGGCGUGCUUAACACAUGCAAGUCGAACGCUGAAGCUCAGCUUUUGUUGGGUGGAUGAGUGGCGAACGGGUGAGUAACACGUGAGUAACCUGCCCCCUUCUUUGGGAUAACGCCCGGAAACGGGUGCUAAUACUGGAUAUUCACUGGUCUUCGCAUGGGGGUUGGUGGAAAGGGUUUUUCUGGUGGGGGAUGGGCUCGCGGCCUAUCAGCUUGUUGGUGGGGUGAUGGCCUACCAAGGCUUUGACGGGUAGCCGGCCUGAGCGGGUGACCGGUCACAUUGGGACUGAGAUACGGCCCAGACUCCUACGGGAGGCAGCAGUGGGGAAUAAUGCACAAUGGGCGCAAGCCUGAUGCAGCGACGCCGCGUGAGGGAUGGAGGCCUUCGGGUUGUGAACCUCUUUCGCUCAUGGUCAAGCCGCAACAAUGGUUGUGGUGAGGGUAGUGGGUAAAGAAGCGCCGGCUAACUACGUG
rnacentral:rRNA from 1 species